AUCAGCAGCAUACUACCUGCUCUUCAGACUAGAAAAUCCAUCUGAAACUAGGCAGGUUUGAGCCUGGCCAGUACUUUAAUGGGAGACCAAUUAGGAAAGUUGGAUUGCUGAUG
rnacentral:rRNA from 1 species